rnacentral:rRNA from 1 species
CCUUCAUGAAGCUGGAAUUGCUAGUAAUGGCAGGUCAGCAUACUGCCGUGAAUACGUUCCCGGGCCUUGUACACACCGCCCGUCACACCAUGAGAGUUGGAAAUACCCGAAGCCUGUGAGCUAACUUAAAGAGGCAGCAGUCGAAGGUAGAGCCAAUGAUUGGGGUGAAGUCGUAACAAGGUAUC